rnacentral:lncRNA from 10 species
UGCCAUGUGAUUUCUGCACAGACCUGCUCGCUUUCAUUUUCCCUGAGUGGAAAAGCCUGAAGCUUUCAUGAGAUGCCCAGUCUUCUGGCCAGCAGAAUUGAUUCAUGACUACAACCCCAAAAUACGGCACUUCUGCCUGUGUGGAAACAACAGAAGCAGGAAGAUUACUCUCAUUUUUCUCUGGCCUUUUUCCCUUGAAGCAGACUAUAAAGAAGAAUCUGACCUUCCUCUGAAGGAAACCUUCAUUCCAGACAUACCCUCCCUAUAUCCAAAGAACAUCUUUAUCUUUAAAGACACAGAGAUGUCAAGAAGAAUCUGAACAAACAGGCUUUGCCAGAUCCCCCAGUUUACUAAUAUUGAACCAUACUCUUUUGUUCUUCAAUCAUACUUCUGCAUGAUGUCCAUAAAAAUACACAGUUUUCCCCAUUCCUUUUGGGUAUUUAUUCCCGAAAGCUUCUGUGUCAUGUAAAACUUACAUUAAAUAAAUUUGUAUGCUUUU